ensembl:lncRNA
CUGGGUGUGGGGAUAAGCUGUCUGUCUGUCUCCUUUUUAUUUGUCUUAUUUUUCAGAGGUUUUUGGUUUUGAAAUGCCGUAACUCACAGAAGUUUGCUUUGAAGUAUGGGAUGGGCAACCACUCCAAAAGGAGCAGACCUGAAAGACAAUCCCAGGAGUGAUUAGAGGCUAUUUAGCAUAAGGGUCAGGUGCAACACUGCAACCAACAUAACCUUAUACCACAGCCUUUGAGCAGAGACCUGCAAGCUAAACCAACAGACUCAUCCUAUAGCGACAUUGCAGGAUAACCCUUAAUUGGUGUUCAGCAUGGCCAAUCACACCAGCGUCCUGAGAUGCAUCCUGCUGCUGCUAUUGGCCGUCACUCUGGCCUCGGCUUUGAGAACAUUGGACACGAAUGAAGAGCUGGAGAAGACUGGCUUCGGGACCCCGCCCCCUCGCCACGGCCUCAAACUACUCCUCUGGUAUGUCCAGACCUGCAUCGACAACAACAUGGUGUCUCUCUGUGACCCCAGGGAGGGAGCAUACGGGUUCCAUAUGUUCAAGAACUAUAAACUGUUACUCCCCAAACUGAAAGACCAGAACCUGUACACCUACUACACCAUUGGUAACCUCCAUUCCCACGGUGCAGAGAACCUGCCCUAUGAAGUGAGGCAAUACUAUGACAAGGACAACCUCCUCAGCAACCAGGACAGGGUGUUGGUGAAGUACAACCAGAACAACAAUCACAUCGACAAGAUCUACAUCUCAGAGCACUACAAGCAACGCAAGACGUACAUGAUCGGGCCCAAUCUUCUCUCCUCUCUCAGACAGCCCAGCUGGCUUGCAAUGAUAUGAUAGUAUGAAUAUCUAAUCUGUACAUUAUGCUAUUCACUGUUGUUUUUCUUGACAUAAACCUGAUGGCAUUACUAAACCUGUAACAUGUCAACCUGACUUCAUGGGUGAUGUGUUUACUGUAACUUUCUGUUUCCUUUACAGACACGCUAUAGAAAUGCAUUUUUACAGACAGAACAUUGCGAUUCUGAGUGCACUGAAAUCAAGUUAAUUUAUGUUUGCUAUAAUGCAGGUCAGUUUAGCACAUUGACCAAUGUCCUUGUUCAAUCAUUCCUAUUGAUGUUGAUUCAACUGAUGACUUACAUGGCUAUAAAAUGUGAAAGUAAUGCAAAAGAGGGUAUAUUUUUGUUGUUGUUUCCGAUUGUUUCAUGCUACUUCUUAUACAAUUUUAGAAGUGAUGAUCACAGAGUGACAGUGUUCUCUAUGCCAGUGGCGGUCGGUUCCUUUCAAGUUGAGGGAGGACGAUGAUUUUUUUUAUGAGCAAGGCCUUAUUUCUGUUACAGCAUAUUAGAUGUCUGUCAUUCAUAUUCCAUUCACCCAGCUCAAAGUAACAUUGAUAGGUUUAGGCUACUUACUACAUGAUACUCAAAUUUUCCGUAUACCCAUCAUGAGGUUGCUACAAUCUAGCGUAUGAAUGAAAGUUUACAACCUAGAUGCACAGGUCGAGAGAAAUUUGAAUAUUCAAGGUGACAGACAUUGACACAUUCAAUAUCACCUUGCACACUCUUGCCUGCAUCUAGCUGAUCUAGGGUGUAACCAUUAGUCCAACAGUUGCAAACAAGAGUUUCUAUUGGACAAAUUCAGGUAUGUUUAUCCCCAUUGUGUUUCGUUUGCUUCCAUUUAAGUAAUGUUUUCAACAGAAUCGGCAGAAUGAAUAAACCGCGGAUCACACACAAAAGCAGUUCACUUUCAUAGCAGCCAGAUCGUUGUAUAAAGAGUGUUCAAUAAUUCCUUAUCACACCUACGCGCUCUCCUCCUCUCACCUUUUCCCUUCUCUUGUGUUCUUCAGUGCACAACACAUCAGCUGUCUGUGACCAGGCGAAAAAACCUUUCCAAGUCAGACCUUCAUAUUACGUUGUUGUCACCAUAUUAGCUAACAUGAAGUCAACACCAUAGCUACAAGAACUAACGCAUUAGUAAACCCACUACAAUCAUGAAGUACAGUGUUGCAAGCAGUUUAGCAGUUACACUGGCAGCCCCGGUGGCAAUAAAUUAAUACAAC